AUGAACGCUAGCUACAGGCUUAACACAUGCAAGUCGAGGGGCAGCAUGGUCUUAGCUUGCUAAGGCCGAUGGCGACCGGCGCACGGGUGAGUAACACGUAUCCAACCUGCCGUCUACUCUUGGACAGCCUUCUGAAAGGAAGAUUAAUACAAGAUGGCAUCAUGAGUUCACAUGUUCACAUGAUUAAAGGUAUUCCGGUAGACGAUGGGGAUGCGUUCCAUUAGAUAGUAGGCGGGGUAACGGCCCACCUAGUCUUCGAUGGAUAGGGGUUCUGAGAGGAAGGUCCCCCACAUUGGAACUGAGACACGGUCCAAACUCCUACGGGAGGCAGCAGUGAGGAAUAUUGGUCAAUGGGCGCAGGCCUGAACCAGCCAAGUAGCGUGAAGGAUGACUGCCCUAUGGGUUGUAAACUUCUUUUAUAAAGGAAUAAAGUCGGGUAUGUAUACCCGUUUGCAUGUACUUUAUGAAUAAGGAUCGGCUAACUCCGUGCCAGCAGCCGCGGUAAUACGGAGGAUCCGAGCGUUAUCCGGAUUUAUUGGGUUUAAAGGGAGCGUAGAUGGAUGUUUAAGUCAGUUGUGAAAGUUUGCGGCUCAACCGUAAAAUUGCAGUUGAUACUGGAUAUCUUGAGUGCAGUUGAGGCAGGCGGAAUUCGUGGUGUAGCGGUGAAAUGCUUAGAUAUCACGAAGAACUCCGAUUGCGAAGGCAGCCUGCUAAGCUGCAACUGACAUUGAGGCUCGAAAGUGUGGGUAUCAAACAGGAUUAGAUACCCUGGUAGUCCACACGGUAAACGAUGAAUACUCGCUGUUUGCGAUAUACUGCAAGCGGCCAAGCGAAAGCGUUAAGUAUUCCACCUGGGGAGUACGCCGGCAACGGUGAAACUCAAAGGAAUUGACGGGGGCCCGCACAAGCGGUGGAGCAUGUGGUUUAAUUCGAAGCAACGCGAAGAACCUUACCAGGGCUUGACAUCCUACUAACGAAGUAGAGAUACAUCAGGUGCCCUUCGGGGAAAGUAGAGACAGGUGGUGCAUGGUUGUCGUCAGCUCGUGUCGUGAGAUGUUGGGUUAAGUCCCGCAACGAGCGCAACCCUUGUUGUCAGUUACUAACAGGUUCCGCUGAGGACUCUGACAAGACUGCCAUCGUAAGAUGUGAGGAAGGUGGGGAUGACGUCAAAUCAGCACGGCCCUUACGUCCGGGGCUACACACGUGUUACAAUGGGGGGUACAGAGGGCCGCUACCACGCGAGUGGAUGCCAAUCCCCAAAACCUCUCUCAGUUCGGACUGGAGUCUGCAACCCGACUCCACGAAGCUGGAUUCGCUAGUAAUCGCGCAUCAGCCACGGCGCGGUGAAUACGUUCCCGGGCCUUGUACACACCGCCCGUCAAGCCAUGGGAGCCGGGGGUACCUGAAGUGCGUAACCGCGAGGAGCGCCCUAGGGUAAAACUGGUGACUGGGGCU
rnacentral:rRNA from 1 species